AUUUUGAACCAGCCCUACAAGACACUUUGCAGACACUUAGUGUAAACACACGAAGAACAAAUGAACUAUAUUAGCCAGAUUUGCUGGUAAACCGCUGGUGGGACGCCAUUACCAACUCCGAGGUUCUCUCCCACCCAGAGCCCACGGUGUGCACGCAGCCAGGAGCGUCUUCUCCAAUGGAAGCCGAUCGUGUCACUCCCUGCUCUUGGAUCCCCUGCUCCUUAGAACAAAACCCAAAGGCCUUCCUGUGGAACUGAGCUUGGACUAAUGAGGGAGAUCAGAGACAGCCACUGGCCCAGCCAGUCAAGGCCCACAGCUCACACAAGAGGAGAAAGUCUCACUAGCAGAGCAUUCUGUUACCGGAGCUGACAGCUUUCCAGGCCACGAGCUGCGGGAUAUUUAAGUUUGGAGACGCAGACCAAAAUGCACCAGUGAGAAGUGGUCCCAGAAACAAGGGGUGCUGCUCCAAACCCCCACUCCCCAGCCUCAUUCCCCACCUCUGUCUUGUAUGUGCCUAACACUCCAGCUUCCUUCUGUCUGGGAUGCCUCCUCUCCAUAUCUUGUGGUCAGAGCCGUGCAUCAAGGCCCCGCUAGAUGCCACCUCCUUCAAGACGCUGUCCCGAUACUGGCAGCAGCAGGUGAGCGUGUGCUGUGCUGUGACUGUCCUUCCUUUGUACCGGUGCACAGGUGACUGUACCGUAGUUAGGUCCCUGUCUUGUCUUCCCAGCUGGACUGUGCCCUUCGGGCAGGACCUGUGUCUGAUUCAUCUCUGGGAGCCCAAUGGAGUUUGGCCAAGUGCCCGGCAUUUCGGCUUCCCAGAGAGGAAACCUCAUGGGCAGAGUAUCUGGGGGAAACUGAACAAUUCACUAUGAGUAAAGUGCAAGGAAUGGAUGCUAGUGAAAAGCUCUGCAGGGGGACAGGUCAUAGAGGGUCCCGAAAGCCCACUAAGGCACUGGGACUCUCCCUGAAGGGAAUGAGAGCCAUGGACAGAUCUCAAGGAGAACAACACUCACUGACCACACAUCGGGUUGUUUGGCGUAAAGAAAACCAAAACAGGGGACAUGAAGGGGGAGCGACAAGACUCCCAGCCUGUCCCUAGCCCUCCUCUUACUUCCCCUGGCCCUGCUCUCAGUGUGCGAAGGAAAAUCUUCUCUGACUGGUCAGAUGCUGGGACUGUCCCUGGGCAGUCUCGAGAGCAUGCAGAAAGACUCUGCACAUAGUGCCACCCAGCCUCACGAGAAACAGCCAGGGGCCUCCUGGACAUUCCUCAGCUUCUUAGGAGCCCAUGCAGAAGCUCCCUGAUAGACAUCUGAAACGAUAAAUUCACCGCCUAAAAUGGAAAUACCAGGGAAAGCCCUGGGCACCUGGAACUUGCCUUUUAGAAGCCACCUUUCCGCCAUCCCCUCCAUCUCUCUGGGCUGCUGUCUCUUACCAUGAAUCCUCCUCUACCCCCCAGGAUGUCUGGCUUCCCGUGGAGCUCCCCUGGAACCUUGAGCAGACUGAACAGCCCAGACCUCGGUCAGGACUCUUAGAGGGAGUGCUCGGUGCACUGUUACAAAAAGGAGGAAUCAUCAUGGUGGAAGGGCCAACUCCUGCGUUAUAGCCAGAAAACUCAGCUGCACAUGGGAGGGACCCUUAGGCCGCUUUGACCCUUAGGCCCACACCAGCGCCACUUCUCUGACUCUGCACACAGACUGGUUCAUGGGACUUUGUUAUCUAUUAUGGACCGCUUGGUUGUAGUUAAGAAAGGCCACAGGAUCAGAAGUUUCCCUCACUCCUGAAAAUGUUAGGGAAUGUUAGUAUGCAGUUUCUGCCUUUCUGACCUCACUAUGGCUCACAGCCUUUUCCCUUCAGAACCACACUAGUUGCUGCUGAGAGUUCCCAUAGUAAUUCUAAGUCACUUUUCCAUAUAGUUGUUCUGAUUAACUCCAAGUACUACAUCACUACCUGCUUCUCAAACUGGAGCAUGCGCAGCCCCAAUUCUGCGCAGAGAGGAUGCAAGACAGCGUAUCUGUGAUACAUCUUUCUGGAGCAUCAGGUUUUUUACAAGACUUGGAAAACCAAGUACUUUAUAAGAACCAUCUCUCCUCCCCACAAACAUGGAAGAAAAGAUGGAGAGGACAGGGGAGGGAAGAAGUGCCCCAGGAAAAGCAGUCCAGCCCCUGAAGUUUCACCCUGGUGGGGGCCAAGGGGCAGACCUGCAGCUAGGGUGGCCUCUCCUCGUGUCCCCCAGGCGCCUCCAGCCCGUCCUCUAAGUUCACCAAGUAUUUUGGAUAUAAUGCUUCUGAAGGCCAUGGAGGUGCCAGACACCAUUCUGAUGUGAACCCAGAGCAGAGAAUACCAAAGCGGUUUGCACACCUCCAUCGUCCACUGGACCAAAUCCUCUCGCCCGCACAUCCGUUCACAUAUAGCGUGUACUUCUUGUACAGCUCCCACUUGCAGCUGAAUGUGUCCAGCCUCUGGCCGAACUCCCACACCACAUUGCCAGGCUCUCUGGAGCUCCACAUCUUGCUCUCCAUUUAAAAUGCAGGGGUGCCGCUUGACCUCCCCACAAUCUUUGAUUUGAACCCUGCCAUGAGAUUAAAUUGGCUUCACUCUAUUGUGUUUGCCAUACUGGUUGCUGCUGAGAAGACAAAAACAGAAGCAUCUUAGAAAGUUUAAGAAUCUCCCAGCAGCCCCCCACCAGCCAGAGGGAGAGGCUGGGGUCACCCCAUCAGGCUCCCCAGUGUGGAGGGAAUUUCCAUUGCAGGUUCUCUCUGGGGCUCCUGUUGCUGGUGCUGUGGGUGGAGGAGAAGGCCCCAGGGCCACGCUGGGGGCUUGGACUCGGGGUGGGGGUCCUCGACUCCAGUCUGAGUGGGGGACUGGCAGGCUCCUGGGUGGGCUGCUGAUUUUCUGCCUCAUGGAGCCAGGUGGGUUUGGCUUUAUUGCGUUUCACUGGGAGUGCAGAGACCUUCGGCUGCACCUUGAGGCUUAGGGAGGAGCUGCAGCUCUUGGGGUGAAUGGAAGCGGAGGACCUCAUAGAGAUGGUGUGGCCCUCCAUCUUGGGUUUCUUGGAGCUCAGGAUUAGGUAUGUUGCCAUGACACUGUCAAAUCUCCUUUUCCUUAAGGAAUCCUGGAUCUUGUCCCACUCAAAGCCCAUGUCCAUCAUCACCUCUAUCACCCCGAGGUCCCUGUUGUCACAGGGCAGCUCCCCAUAAGGCCUGAGUUUCUCCUGGCCCAUAUUAACCCACGGGUCCUUCAUGAUGUCUUUUAAACUUUUUCUCUUGCUGGGGUCAAGGGUCAUCGUUUUCUUUAGGAGUUUUCUGCAUUUAAAGGAUAAGAACACAGGAAGCAGGCAUUGCCUUCUCAGUACCCUCGCUUCACUGGAGCGAAGUCGUCUCCUGGGAAAGGCCCGGCCCCAGUGAGCAUAACGUGAAGAACCACCCCAAGGCUCCAGACGUCUGCCCAGCAGCGUAGUCCUGGCAAAAGAAGACUUCCGGGUCAGUGUGACAGGAGCACCGCAGUGCAUCCUCAGCUUCCGGCCAAGGGUCACGGUGCUCAGAACAGAGUCCUCGAGCUUUACAUUCAGCUCAGCGUUCAGAAGUACGUUCUCCGGCUUCAGGUCCCUGUGGACGAUGCCUCUGUGGUGGCAGUACUGGAGGGCCGAGCUGAGCUGCCUCAGGCUGCCUCAGGCCUCCUCCUGCGUCGUGGGGCCGCGCUUUGCUACGUAAUCCGGCACGUCUCCUCUGCUAACAUGCCCCGGGAUGAGCAACGAUGUUUCCUCUGUGUCGAUGACCUCCAAUAACUUUGCGAAGUCUGGGUGAUUGCAGGCCCUUAGGGUGUAGACUUCACGGAAAAGCUUCUUGUUUCUGUAGAAGCUCUGCUGAGGCUUCUCAAUGAUUUUUACAGCCACUUCUGUCCCAGUCGGGAUUUCCCGCCCCACCUUCACUGUGGUGAAGCUCCCUUCUCCAAUGGUAUUGAGGAGCUCGUAAUUGUUAAUACGGGUCGUCUUGUUAGCAGAGGUGGCCUCGAGGCCCAGAAGCAUGUGACCUGCUAACUACACUAACUGACAAUACUAACUAACAAUGCUAACUAUGCUAACAAACAAAACUAUAGUAUGCUAAUAUUAACUAAUGAUCCUAACAAUGCCACCUAUGCUUACUAUGCUAAUAAGUAAUACUAACUAUACCAAGUAUGCUAACUAUAUUAACUAUACCAACAGUACUAACUCUACUAGCAAUACAAAAUAAAAAAUUUAAGGAGGGGCCAGCUGGGUGGUGCAGCGGUUAAGUUUGCGCAUUCUGCUUUGGGAGCCCAGGGUUUGCUGGUUUGGAUCCUGGGUGUGGACCUACACACUGCUUGUCAAGCCAUGCUGUGGUAAGCAUCCCACCUAUGAAGUAGAGGAAGAUGGGCAUUGAUGUUAGCUCAGGGCCAGUCUUCUUCAGCCAAAAAAAAAAGAAAAGUAGGAGGAUUGGUGGCAGAUGUUAGCUCAGGGCUAAUCUUCCUCAAAAAAAAAUUUAAGGAAAAUGAGAAAAAGAACCAGAAAACAAAGAAAAAAGAAAAAAUAAGAAAAGAACAAAGAAAAAUUGAGAAAAAGAGAAAAAAGUGUGAAAAAUAAAACAAGAAAAAUGAGAAAAAGACAAAAAGAAUUUUAAAAAAUGAGAAAGGAGAAUAAAAAAAUUAAAAAGAAAAUAGAGAAAAAUAAGAAAAUAAAAACAAUAGAUAAAAAAGAAAAAAUAAACAAAAUGGGAUGGAAAAAAAAAGAAAAAAGCUCACUGCGGUCCAAGUCCUACAGGUCACCAAAAAUUAGCUUCCUGGGCUGUAAGGAACAAAAACCCAAGCCCAGCCAGAGACUUUAUAGGUGUUUGUAAUUCCAUCAUGGUGGAUCCUUAUGAGCUCUGGGCAAGAAAUGGACCAAUCAUGGCAGGGGAUAAACUACAGUGUUUUUCUUACUUUUUGGUCUCAACACCCCUUUACUGUUUAAAAAACAAAAAAGGACCCCAAAGAGCUUUUUAUUUAUGUGGGAUAUUAGAGAGUGAUAUUUAUUAGAAAUUAAAAUCUGUAAGAUGCUUCAGUGGCCUUUUCAUUUCUAAUUUAAAAAUCUGUAAUAAUUUUUGGCUUUUAGAGGCCUCACAGUGUCUACACUUAAAAUAUUUAAUUCCUUGUCCUUCAACUCUGAUUAGUCUCAAAAUGAUCCCACAACUUAAAGGAUGUUAUAAUACUAUAGGAAAAUGUUCUGUUGGUGAGACACAAGAAGGGACAUCAUUGAUGUUUAUAAAGCUGAGAGGAAGAGAGCUUUCAUCAUAUUUUCCGCAGUAAGAUCACGAGCAGAUUUCUCAUCAGAAACCUUGGAGGCCAGAUGGCAUGGGUUGAUGUAUUCAAAAUGCUGAAGGAAAAAAGAAUCCAACCAAGAAUCCUAUAUCUGGCAAAACUGUCCUUCGAAAAUGAGGGGAAAUGAAGACAUUCCCGUAUAAACCAAAGCUGAGGGAGUUCUUCACACUAGACCUGCCCUCCAAGGAAGGGAGUCCUUCAGGUUGAAACAAAAGGACACUGGACAGUAACUCAAUGCCUUGGGAAGAAAUAAAUAUCUCCGGUCAAAGUAUGUGGAUGAUUAUAAAAACUAGUACUAGUGUAACUUUGGUUUGUAGCUCCACUUUUUGUUUUCUACGUUAAGAGACUAAAGUAUUAAAAAACCCAAUUAUUAGUAUAUGUUUUUGGACACACAUCCUAAAGAUGUAACUUUGUGACAUUCAUAACUGAAAUGGGGAGGAGUCAGGGCUGUAUAGGAGCUGAGUUUCUGUAUUUUACUGAAGUUAAGCUGGUAUAGAUUGACGUUAGAGUGUUACAACUUUACGAUGUUGAGUGUAAUCCCAUGGUAACCACAAAGAAAAAAGCUAUAGAAUAUAGACAAAAGAAAAUGAGAAGGUAAUUAAAUUGCCCUUUCAGUAAUUGUACAAACAAGCUACAUGGCCCUGUCAGCACAGAAAUCCCACGGGACGGCUUCUCUCACUGAACCAUCUCUGCAGAUUGCAGGAGGCCAUCCUGUGCCCCUUUCCUAUGUCUGCUGUGUCAGUGACAGUGUUAUUGAUGUUGUUUUUCAAGCUAAUUGACAGUCUGGUGCAGGAUAGUUUCUCCAGGAUGCCAUAAAGCAGUUGUCAGCUGUCUUGAAGGCUCUGGCUGUCCACAGCUCUCACCACAGCUACACAAUGCCUGCCAGGGCCACAGGCCACCUCCCAUCUCACCACAAGUGCAAAAUUAGAAAUAACACCAAUGACAAUGAUGAUGCGUGACACUCCUUACGUCCCAAGCCCUGAGCUGGGCCCUGACGCAUGUUAUUAAUGAUUUUCAAAGCAACCUAGCCGGUCCAACAUGGUCCUCACUGCAUAAAAGAUGGACUGAGGCUCCUGGAGUUUGCGUUAACUGCCACGGUCACGUGACCAGCUGGCACCAAGGCACGUUUUGAACCCAGAUUUGCUGAUUCUAUCCACUCCACCCACUCCUUGCUACGCCACGCUCCUGUCACAACGUCAACAGCCAGCAUGCAAACCAGCCUCUGUCCAUCAUGUUAGAAGUCAGGACAGAGGUUACUUGAGGGCAGGUGACGGAAACGGGCCGUGGGGGCUUGUGAGUGCUGACAACAUUUGCCUCCUGAUCCAAGUACUGGCUAUUCAUUUGGGAUAGUGUGAUUUAUGAGAAAUAAAUAUUUGGUCAUUCAGAUGAGCAAAAUAUAUUUCUUAUAUAUAUUUGGCCUUCCUCUGUGGUUCCUGGCUUACAGCUCCCAAAGCCCUUUGAAUUUUCUGAGAGAGAAAAGCAAUGGAAACAUCUUUUGUUAUAAUACUGGGUCUCUUGUCCUCCAUUCCUGAAAUUGCUUCAGAGCCAUAAAGGUGAAAUGGGUGACUUGUUAUUCAUAACAAGCCCCUUUCUACCACGAUGGGGUUUAUGUUAAUGAAGUGACUUUUAUAAAGCCCCUAAGGAUGAGGACUGGUUUCCAGGGGAACCAACCUUGAUUAUAGGGCUGGAACUUUCAGUGGUCCCCCCCCCCACCCCACCCCCCCCCCCCCGAUUUGCAGGGAGGGGAGAGGGACUGGAGGUUGAGUCAAUUACCAAUGGUCAGUGAGCUAAUCAAUCAUGCAUACAUAAUGAAGCCUCGUAAAAAGCCAAAACGCAAAAGAGGUUCAGAGAGCUUUCAGGUUGGUGAACCAGAACCCUUCCAUGUGCCACCUGCUGCCCCAAACUCUACGAAGAUGUCUCGGACUAGUUACCCGGAGGAGGAACUCAAGGGUGGGUUUGGACAUUUUAAUUGUUUUUCCAAAUUUAUUUUUCUCCUUUUGCUAUGGUAAGGAGAUGCAAUCACCAACCUCCCUGAGACAGACCAAGCCUCACCAGAGAGCUAGGCCUAUGACCUUUGCCUUAUUUUUAAUGCUAAGAUCUCCUCUCCAGGAGGAGCUUGGGCCCUAUCACCAUAACCUGCAGUGUAUGUGGAAGUAUGUUUUCCUACUGAGCCCGCGCAAGCGAAUACCCACCUCUCCCUUUUGAAUAGUCAUUCCCCAACCAAAACAAAAGAUCCCUGCUUCCCUUUGUUUAGGGACACCAUGACUUUGGAAGUGAUUCCUCAUGUUCUCCUAUUUGCUGCAAAUAUACCUUACUUUGUGAGACUACAUCUGGUGGAGAGUCUGAUUUUACUCAGUGGGAGGGAAGCCACUUUGGUUUCAGUAAUAAAUUGGCAUAGCUCAGGGCCAGUCUUCCUCAGAAAAAAGAGGAGGAUUGCCAGAUGUUAGCUCAGGGCUAGUCUUCCUCAAAAAAAAAAAAAAUAAAUAUAAUAAGGCCGGCCCGGUGGUGCAGCGGUUAAGUUCCCACGUUCCGCUUCUCGGCAGCCCAGGGUUCGCUGGUUCAGAUCCUGGGUACGGACAUGGCACCGCUUGGUAAAAGC
ensembl:lncRNA